AGGAGUGCUGCCAUUGAAACUGAAAUAAAUACAGUCUUUGUGAUUUUUUUCUAGGAAAAUGCUAAUGUUUUCGCCUUUGACUUAAAUGAAGUAUGCCUAGACACUGGAGCUCUAUUGAUUCACAAAGCAAGAGAGCAGAGAACAGGGUAGAGAAAAUGCACUUCCAUUUCUGAAGGGUCAAAGGUGCAUUCAUGUGGCACUUCAGGAGGACAUUGCACAGCAGGGAAUACCAGCUGCUGGAAGGCAUGCCUUCAAGACUAUCUCAGGAUCUAUAAAGGCAUUUCAAGGGAUCUAUACAGCUGUGUUUUGA
rnacentral:lncRNA from 1 species